UAGCCAAGGAUGAGGUUGAACUGCU
rnacentral:misc_RNA from 1 species